rnacentral:rRNA from 1 species
CACGGGGGGAGCAAGCGUUGUUCGGAAUCACUGGGCGUAAAGCGCGUGUAGGCGGUCCGUUAAGUCUGAUGUGAAAGCCCGGGGCUCACCCCCGGAAGGGCAUUGGAAACUGGCGGACUCGAGUCCCGGAGAGGAGGGUGGAAUUCCUGGUGUAGCGGUGAAAUGCGUAGAUAUCAGGAGGAACACCGGUGGCGAAGGCGGCCCUCUGGACGGUGACUGACGCUGAGACGCGAAAGCGUGGGGAGCAAACAGG